GGCUUACCUGGUUACAAGCUGGGGGUGGGGCAAGGGUCAGUAAAGUGAAUCAGCUCUUUACUGACCCUUGCCCCACCCCCAGCUUGUAACCAGGUAAGCCCA
rnacentral:miRNA from 1 species